rnacentral:rRNA from 1 species
CAGCAGCCGCGGUAAAACGGAGGGUGCAAGCGUUAUCCGGAUUUAUUGGGUUUAAAGGGUCCGUAGGCGGAUCUGUAAGUCAGUGGUGAAAUCUCACAGCUUAACUGUGAAACUGCCAUUGAUACUGCAGGUCUUGAGUAAAUUUGAAGUGGCUGGAAUAAGUAGUGUAGCGGUGAAAUGCAUAGAUAUUACUUAGAACACCAAUUGCGAAGGCAGGUCACUAAGAUUUAACUGACGCUGAUGGGCGAAAGCGUGGGGAGCGAACAGGAUUAGAUACCCGCGUAGUCCCUGUCUCUUAUAC